AUCAUUUACCAUCUGCUGUAAAGUUUCAUAAGCCAGCUGAGAAACAAACGGUUUCCUUUGCUUAUUCGCCCUUAAAGUGAGGUGUUCUCUUCUCUUUCCCUUCUUUUAUUCUUAUGGUUCUCAUAGGAGAUAUCCCACAAAAGGAUUGAAAGACAAUCUUUUGGACACUUAGAGCAUUUUACUAAUAACCAGCAUUGGCCCUUCCUAGGAGUAAAAUCCCAUUUUGGUACAGCACAAGUAACUCUGGGGACAUCUCCUUUCUCUCCAUGGUCCACACAUGGUGAAACCGAAGAGACUCUUACCCGCUUCCUCCUUUCACAUUUCUUGAGAGCGAGAAGUGAGUGAAGGGACAGAUGGGGCCUGGUUUCUGUGCCGGAUGGGGUAAGGUGACAGCAGAGCAAAUAAACCUUCCUAUCUAGGACCUGUAGGUACCUGCAACCUUCUUUCAAUUUCAGGCCUAUGUAAUUGCCAUAGAUUAUCUAUAACCUGACACUCCAACCCCAGAGCCUCCUCCAGACACUGGCCCUUACUAGCAAUUAUUUCUCCCCAAGUCAUAAUGUUCUAGAACUAGAAUUCUCGUGUGGGGAGGGCUUACAUAGUCAGAACAGUCAAUCAUCAAGUAGAGAAGACUGGAGGCGGAAGCAAGUGGUUUACUUAUUUGCCAGAUCCUCUGUUUCAACUCCCAGACAGCACUGCCCACCCUUAUCAGCCGUGCUGUACUUGGAAUCUCAGGGUCAAGGCUCACAAGAUGAGGAGAGGACACAUCACCAGGGCACCAGGACACCUGCAGCUCUUCCAGACUUGCUGGCCCAGUAGGGGUUGUUUGAAUGAGAAAACAGCUUCCAAAAAGAUGUAACACAAGAGCAUAAAAGGAAAAAGAAAAAUGUGCAUUUGUGAGAUGAGGGAAUUGUAGAGUUUUAUCUCUGAUUCUUCUCAAAAGAAACCUUUUAUUAUCUAAUAUUCCCAUCCGUAGGUCAAGGCUCACAAGAUGAGGAGAGGACACAUCACCAGGGCACGUUGCUGGUGUUUUGCUCAAAAAGGAAUUUGCUUUCAAACAGACAUGCAUUCACUAAUCUCUUUUCUUUAAAAGAAAAAGAAAGAAAGAAAGAAAGAAAGAAAGAAAGAAAGAAAAGAAAAAGAAAACCACAAAUAUAAAAUCUCUUCCAACUCAGCUGACUGAGUCCAAGUGGGGAUGACAGCAACGUUUACUUGCAUGAUCCCACAGAGCUAGUAUCCAGAACGAAAAUAAAUGUGACUUUUCAAAUCCGGGCA
rnacentral:lncRNA from 1 species